rnacentral:rRNA from 1 species
UGAGUACGAGAUGCUACGGCAUCGAAGCAGUCUAUGUCAUACUUCCAAGAAAAGCUUGCAAUGUCAUAAACAAAUAAUGCCUGUACCAUAACCGACACAGGUGGGUAGGUAGAGUAUACUAAGGGGCGCGAGAUAACUCUCUCUAAGGAACUCGGCAAAAUGACUCCGUAACUUCGGGAGAAGGAGUGCCUUAUUUUUAUAAGGUUGCAAUAACAAGAUCCAAGCAACUGUUUACCAAAAACACAGGUCUCCGCUAAGUCGUAAGACGAUGUAUGGGGGCUGACGCCUGCCCAGUGCCAGAAGGUUAAAGAAGUUGGUUAGCAUUAGCGAAGCUGAUAACUGAAGCCCUGGUGAACGGCGGCCGUAACGAUAACGGUCCUAAGGUAGCGAAAUUCCUUGUCGGGUAAGUUCCGACCCGCACGAAAGGCGUAAUGAUUUGGAUACUGUCUCGGAGAGGGGCUCGAUGAAAUAGACUUGUCUGUGAAGAUGCGGACUACCUGCACCUGGACAGAAAGACCCUAUGAAGCUUUACUGUAACUUGAGAUUGAAAUUGGACUUUAUCUGCGCAGUAUAGGUGGGAGACGUUGAAAAUAUUCUUGCGGGAAUAUUGGAGUCAUCAGUGAGAUACCACUCUUAUAAUGUUAGAUUUCUAACUUUGUAUCAUUAUCUGGUCAAAGAACAGUUUCAGGCGGGCAGUUUGACUGGGGCGGUCGCCUCCCAAACGGUAACGGAGGCGCACAAAGGUUUCCUCUGAACGUGUAGAAAUCGUAUCUAGAGUGUAAAGGCAUAAGGAAGCUUGACUGUGAGACCUACAAGUCGAGCAGGGACGAAAGUCGGUCUUAGUGAUCUGACGGUGCUGAGUGGAAAGGCCGUCACUCAACGGAUAAAAGUUACUCUAAGGAUAACAGGCUGAUCUCCCCCAAGAGUUCACAUCGACGGGGAGGUUUGGCACCUCGAUGUCGGCUCAUCGCAUCCUGGGGCGGUAGUACGUCCCAAGGGUUGGGCUGUUCGCCCAUGAAAGCGGUACGCGAGCUGGGUUCAGAACGUCGUGAGACAGUUCGGUCCAUAUCCGGUGUAGGCGUUAGAAUAUUGAGAGGAGCCUUCUUUAGUACGAGAGGACCGAGAAGGACAUACCUCUGGUGUACCAGUUAUCGUGCCAACGGUAAACGCUGGGUAGCCAUGUAUGGAGAGGAUAACCGCUGAAAGCAUCUAAGUGGGAAGCCCACCUCAAGAUAAG